rnacentral:rRNA from 1 species
GAUGAACGCUAGCGGCAGGCCUAACACAUGCAAGUCGAGGGGUAGCAGGAUUAAGCUUGCUUAAUUGCUGACGACCGGCGCACGGGUGCGUAACGCGUAUGCAACCUACCUUAUACUGGGGUAUAGCCCGGAGAAAUUCGGAUUAAUCCCCCAUAGUACUAAUGAAUCGCAUGGUUUAUUAGUUAAAGCAUUGCGGUAUAAGAUGGGCAUGCGUCCUAUUAGCUAGAUGGUGAGGUAACGGCUCACCAUGGCUACGAUAGGUAGGGGGCCUGAGAUGGUGGUCCCCCCCACUGGUACUGAGACACGGACCAGACUCCUACGAGAGGCAGCAGUGAGGAAUAUUGGUCAAUGGGCGCAAGCCUGAACCAGCCAUGCCGCGUGCAGGAAGAAUGCCCUAUGGGUUGUAAACUGCUUUUAUUUGGGAAUAAACCUCUCUACGUGUAGAGAGCUGAAGGUACCAAAUGAAUAAGCACCGGCUAACUCCGUGCCAGCAGCCGCAGUAA